rnacentral:lncRNA from 1 species
UCUCUAAUUUUAAGACAGACUUACUGAGUCUAGUUCAGUUACCGAGUUCUGGUUACCGAGUCCAAGUUAAGACUGUAACUGCGUUCAGAGAAGGCACACAGAGAGCUGGGUGCUGCCCAACAGCUUUCAGUCUCAGCUGACGAAGCAAGAAGUAACCAAGUGCUGUUCACUUUCACGCUGGAGGCAAACAGAAGCACAGCCCACAGCAGCCCUAAUGCUUCUGGGUUGGGGCCCAGCUUUGGCGUGAUAAAACUCAAGUGCUCCCUUUCCAAUGCAAAGCAAAGAGCUGACUGAUGGGGCCACCUGUUUCUUAUCAUCUUCACAACUCAAAGGAACAGAAAGGGAAAACGUGGGAAGUCACGGAGUGGCAGCAGUUGAAAGCUGAGGUAAGAUGAGGUUGUGUAACAGCAGUGGUAAGGAAAUUCAAAAUCCAUCUUCAACAAACGGGUCUCCUCAGAUGUACAUGCACGUGUCUGUGUGUAAAAUCAGUGUGACCAAUUGCACUCUCUGGGUGCUAAGAUACUGCAUGCCAGCUCCCCCCCUCUUCCACCCAGAUCCAAGAAAGGCAAUUAAGCUGCUUUAUUUCAUUUACUUGAAACUUGCAAGAACGAAUGCUCAUCUGAAACAGCCUUGUCUGGAAAGGUUCUUCAUUACUUCAAACACGAAGCGACAAGUGAACAUUUUGUUUCUCCUUGCAGAAGGCAGACAGAGCAGUGGCUGCUCUAGCUUAGGUGGCUGAUCUGUCUUCUGCCAGCUGGAGACCUCAGCAAGUAAAGAUGGAGGGAAGGAAGUUCUCACUGAACACACGCAGUUGUUCAGCAGACUUCAAGGUAGCAGCAGGAGUUAAGUGAAUGGGAACAUCUCUGUGCACACGGAGAUGCAUCACAGUACCUGCACUGACCCACUGCUGCUCCACGUCCUCUCCCAGAGGAGUUAACACUGAGUUCAGAAAAACAACUUCUGGCUCAUAAAACUGCCCUGUGUCUGCUCAGCCCAACUGCUGUCCUAUGUGUUUCAGUGCUGAAAGGGGCACUGAGGAAGAGAAAAGCUGAUUUUAUUUUAGCUUAUCUUGGCAGAUGACAGAUGCAUUUCUCCUCUGCUUGUUUUUACAAUUUGUGAUGUUUUCGGUGUCCAAGUAAUUUUAGAGCAAUGUGCUUUUUAAGAUGGAAGCUGCAGAAUUCAUUCAAUACAGACCACAGUAGCAGCUGAGAAGCAUUAAUCAAUCUAAGCCACAUUGUGGUAACCAAAAAAGGCUAGAAACAGAUCACUGAAUUAAACAUUGAGCUUUCAGGUACUUUAAAAAAACUCUAUCAACAAUAUGAUACACAAUUUACUUUUGCAUUUCAAAGCACUGCAUCAAAUUAAUUGCUUUUUAAAGAGUCAACUGAAGAAGCUGGGCAAGGAACAGUAUCUGAAAUAGAAGAAUUUUAUGUAGACCAUUCAGUGUUAAAAACCAGAGAAUCAAACGUAAGUUCAAAUUAAAGAUCAGUUUCAAACAGAAGACAUUUGAUUAAAAGUUUCUUUUAACAUUUAGAAAUUUAAAUACAUUUACCUAAAGAUGGUUAAUCUCCAUCUCUAUGUUACUAUACAAUAGCUUAAAGCUACUUUUAAAUGCUAGUUCUAUGUUAAUGUGAAGUUACAGAACCGCAUUCUUAGUUAACGUAAAUUGGUUAUUAGUUGGGUGACUGUAUUUCCUCCCACCCUGAAGUAAGUUUUAAAAAGUGGAGCUUUACAAUGUCUCAGAUAAUAGUUUUCAAAUGAGUAGUUUGGAAUAAUUCCCGACAGUUCUAUAGGAGGUAUUUUGUACAGUUUGGAGAGCAACUCCAUAUAAAGUUCUAUUGCAACUGAGCAUUCACAGUAUGCCACAGUCCAUACAUAUUACUACAUAUACAUAUCAGGUUUGUAAACAUUGGAAGAAUACACAGAACAUAGUACCACGAUCCUCUGGUACUGCUGAAAGGAAGAUGAGGUAACAUUCAUAUAAUCUCAAAGUCCACAGAGGUCCUGACUGAGUAGUUAAAACAGCUGCCAGCGCUUCUGUUUCAUAGUGUGUGUUAAGGCUUUCUACUUUAUGAUCUGCUAAGGCUGGAUUCGUUAGCUCUCAAUAUCCCAACUGCAUCUUUAACAGCGUGGUAUAUGACAUUCUUCACCUGCAAUUUAUCUUCGUGGUUUGUAUGCGUAUGUGACAGAUAUCUAAAUUCCUGAGUGAGCCAGAAGCAAUGCUUGACGUGCUCUGGGGAUACAAAGUCUUCUGCAACUUUAAUACAACUGUACAAAUUAUGAACCUGGAGAGAACAAACAAACAUUAGCCAAAUAUGCAAAGUCUGCCCAAGUGGUCAGGCUGCAAACAGUGCCAGUGGUCCUUGCCUGAUGCGG